rnacentral:siRNA from 1 species
AUCUCAGUGUGCUUCCAAGGGAUA